AUUGAACGCUGGCGGCAUGCCUUACACAUGCAAGUCGAACGGCAGCACGGGAGCAAUCCUGGUGGCGAGUGGCGAACGGGUGAGUAAAGUAUCGGAACGUGCCCAGUCGUGGGGGAUCACGUAGCGAAAGUUACGCUAAUCCCGCAUACGAUCUAUGGAUGAAAGCGGGGGAUCGCACGACCUCGCGCGAUUGGAGCGGCCGAUAUCAGAUUAGGUAGUUGGUGGGGUAAAGGCUCACCAAGCCGACGAUCUGUAGGUGGUCUGAGAGGACGACCAGCCACACUGGGACUGAGACACGGCCCAGACUCCUACGGGAGGCAGCAGUGGGGAAUUUUGGACAAUGGGCGCAAGCCUGAUCCAGCCAUGCCGCGUGCAGGAUGAAGGCCUUCGGGUUGUAAACUGCUUUUGUACGGAACGAAAAGGUUUGACUUAAUACGUUGGACUCAUGACGGUACCGUAAGAAUAAGCACCGGCUAACUACGUGCCAGCCGCCGCGGUAA
rnacentral:rRNA from 1 species